AGGACGAACGCUGGCGGCGUGCUUAACACAUGCAAGUCAAGGGGGCCCAGCAAUGGGCAACCGGCGAACGGGUGCGUAACACGUGAGCAACCUACCGAACUGUGGGGGAUAGCCGGCCUAACGGCCGAGUAAUACCGCAUACGCUCUCAGGGAGGCAUUUCUUUGAGAGGAAACCUACGGGACAGAUCGAGGGGCUCGCGGCCUAUCAGCUAGUUGGCGAGGUAACGCUCACCAAGGCAACGACGGGUAGCUGGUCUGAGAGGAUGGCCAGCCACAUUGGGACUGAGAUACCGGCCCAGACUCCGUACGGGAGGCAGCGAGGUGGGAAUCGUUGCGCAAUCGGCCUAACGGCUCGACGCAGCCGGACGCCGGCGUGUGGAUGAAGCUCGUUCGGAGUACGUAAACC
rnacentral:rRNA from 1 species